UACGUAGGGGGCAAGCGUUGUCCGGAAUCAUUGGGCGUAAAGAGCGUGUAGGCGGCCCGAUAAGUCCGCCGUGAAAGUCCAGGGCUCAACCCUGGAAAGCCGGUGGAUACUGUCGGGCUAGAGUCCGGAAGAGGCGAGUGGAAUUCCUGGUGUAGCGGUGAAAUGCGCAGAUAUCAGGAAGAACACCAAUGGCGAAAGCAGCUCUCUGGGACGGUACUGACGCUGAGACGCGAAAGCGUGGGGAGCGAACAGG
rnacentral:rRNA from 1 species